GCUGCAGCAGCGGAAGACCCCAGUCCAAUCCAGGACUGAGAUCCCAGAACCAUGAACCUGGCCAUCAGCAUCGCUCUCCUGCUAACAUCUUGCAGGUCUCCCGAGGGCAGAAGGUGACCAGCCUAACGGCCUGCCUAGUGGACCAGAGCCUUCGUCUGGACUGCCGCCAUGAGAAUACCAGCAGUUCACCCAUCCAGUACGAGUUCAGCCUGA
rnacentral:lncRNA from 1 species